rnacentral:lncRNA from 1 species
UACUGACUGAAAUAAAUAUGUACUAGCACUCUUAAAUGCCAUUGAAGUAGUUAUUAUGAGGGAAAUCAUUUUUUUUAACUUCAAUAAGUGUUAUUCAUCCCCUAUUUAGAAAACUUUCAUAUUAUGCUGAAGUUUAAUGCUCCUACAAAUGUAUAGUUACGGUUUUAAUAAAAUAUGACUAUUAAUACAGUAGACUUAGUUCAGGUCAACUAUUAGUGACGGUGGUUCAUCGCUCCAAGUGGUAACAAUAAUGUAUGGUUAUUUCAAGAUUUUUCCAUAUUAACAAGUUACAUAAAAAUUCUAUGCACCAUUAGUAUCCUAAUAAAAAAAUAUACUUGUUCUCCUUAGCCUCUUUCAAUCUUCAAAUAGAUAUCCAAUCCAUUUUGUUAUAAAGGUUACCUGGACAUAUUUACUAUAACUUAUAGUAAAUAUGUAGUGAGUCAACCAGAAAUGACGCUUGAGUAAAAAUCAAGUUAUUGAUAUUUGUUCCAUUAUGGGAUUUAUGUUCAAAUUUGAGGGAUGGAUGAGAUACUCAAGAACAUUAGCUAUAAUUUAGAGCCUUUCUUUAAUUAAUGUGACUCCAAUUGACCUCGUUACAACCUUUUGAAUAUAAUUGGUCAUAUUCAAAGCCUCAGAUAUUUGUUAAUAUUUAUUAAAACGGAGUUGACUAAAAUAAAGCGAGUUGAUCUGAUCCAACUUUACCCCCAGAGGAAUGAUAUUAUUAUUAUCUGUGUAUUAUAUACUAUUAUAGUAUUAUUCAUAGAAUGAAACACGGUUACUAUUAAGUUUCCAAACGUUAUAAAUUAUUUCCGACAACGUUUUUACCACCUCCUAUUUGGAAAUUCGAACGUUUUGUAGGGAGCAAUCCUUGGAAAUGACCACAAUUUCCAAAGAUCCUCUCAAAUGUGUGUUUUUUCUUGAAUGGGUGAAAAAGAAGACAGGAUGAAGCUCUAUAUGGGAAUGUCCAAACGUACCCUUUGAUAGUUCCGUAAAAUACAUUUGGAUUGUCUUCAAAUGGAAAGAAAAGACUAAACACACGAGUCAGUUAUACUAAAUAUAAUAGGAAUGAAGUUCAAUUGUUGACAAUUGACUUUUCGGAGGCAAGUCCAUUCCAUAUUCAUCUAUUAAAAGAAGAAAGAUUCGCUUGUUAUAUUUAUAUAAAAUCAAUUUUCGAUCAAAUGUUGAAGAUGAAGGAGCAGGGACAUCUCACAUAUAUCAUACAUAUUUGAUAAAGGGAACAAGAAACUUGGAAGAAAGGUUCUAAUUGUACUGCAUUACUUGUAUAUCAUGAAAUAAUGCAAUUCAAUGUGACAAUUGUGAGGUCAGAACAAGAAUUUCAUUAUUAUGGGCCUUUUAGCAUACAUUGUAAUGCUGCGAAAAGUGGAUAAAAUCUAUGUUCUCCUCUGAUCAUCCUGGGAUUGUAAUAAUGAAUGAGUGGUCCAACAGUAAAGAAAUUAAUUCGUUAAGGCUAUUAACGAAUAUAAUUUCAUCUAAGGAAUUAACAAUUUUGAUUCCUGAAGAUUUUUUAUCAGAAGAAAGAAAAUAAUAUCUAAAAAAAAAAUAUAGGCCCUCUAAUCAAUUGUGAGAAAAAGAGGAAAAAUUUAUGGAGCACUCUUCAAGUCUUCUACCUAUAUCAAUUUCGUCUACCGCAAGUCCUCUUUCUACACCAUACUCUCCUUCAACAUUGAAUCCGUUUCUUACCUCGAUCACCCUCCUAUAUUUAAUCAGCUUCCCUCCUCUUCCCACCUCAUCAUCAUAAAGAGUUAAAGAAAGGUACUUCAAUUGUAUUAGAUGUUCCUUAUAUAAACGAUUUUUAAAUAAAAAAGAUCGAAAAUGUAGAUGAAGUAAAUUUUACAUUAACAAACAUUUAAAACAGUUUUGUUAAAAAUUGAUUUGUAAAAACAUUAAUAAAUAGUUGAAAGACUGUUAUCUC